GGGCGCUGGGUGGGCGAGGCGGCGCGGGAGGGGAUUUGCCUCAGGCGGUGGCGCAGGGACCGAUCCGCAGGAAGCCGCCGGCGGCGGCGUGUAAAUAUCCGAGUUUGGGCCGAGAUCACCUCGGGGCCGUGGUGGCAGAGCAGGAAGGUGACACAGAGCUGUGGGGAGCGGUUCGGCCGAGCGCCGGGGCAGCAGAGGAAUGAUUUUCAAAAGGAAUCCAUGCAGUGAAUGUGAUGAACCACCAAUCUACCAGAUGCAACUACCCCAACUCUGUCCUUCAUCAGAUUAAGUUCUCUUCUUACCACACUGAGCUGCAGCAGAAAGGUUAUCUGUUUGCAACCAUGACCAGUCUAGUGUAUACUAUUGUAUACUGCUGGGACUCUGAUGAGAGCUGAUUUCCUUGAAGUCACAGGUCAGCACUGGACAGUUACCUUAGAGAUUCUGGUGUACUGUGAUAAUAGCACAUGCUCCAGCCACUAGAAAUGCUUCUAUAAGCUUUUAAGAGUAUAGUCUUAUUUUUACCUUCUUUCCUUCUUCUCAUGGUGAGCCUCACUUUAUUAACAGUUCUUGGAGUUCAAGCUUUGAUGAAUUGCUCUAUUUUGAAUCCUUUGAUAUUAAUGGAGCUCUUUUGUUAAUGAAAGUAGAAGUUGGUCCUGAAAGUGUAAUUCAUGUCUGGACAGGGCAGAAACAACUGUCUGAUAUUCAGAGCAGGCUAAACAAUACAGUGUUCUCCACUUUUCAUUCUAGGCAUUCAGGGAAGUUAGUGGAAAUCUCAUUUAUUUGAUUUUGUAGUGCUUCACCCAGUUUAUGUUACCUUUGUUUCCUGGAUGACACUGCUGGUCAAGGAUUCCCUUCUUCUGUGAACAAUUUCUGCCCCAUUAACAGAGCAGAAAACCCUAAAAAUGAUUUUAUCACUUGUUUGACUUUGCUCAUGUCACAUAGGGCAUUUGAUCAAAAACAUCUAUACAAUUGCAUGCUACAUAUUUUUCUUAGUUACAGCUUACCAAUAAAAUGCCUGAUUCUAUUUAAUUCUUGCUACCUAUAAACAACUGAAGUCUGUAUGGUGGACAUCAGUAAAUAAUUUCUGUUGAGAAAAAGAAUGCCUAUGCAUCCCUUAUCCCCUUCACCAACAAUCUCUCUCUUUCAUAUGUGAUCGUGUAGUUUAGAUAGUUUGAUAACUGUACAGUAAAGGAAGAAAAUGAGAAUAAAAUAAAUGG